AUUGAACGCUGGCGGCAUGCCUUACACAUGCAAGUCGAACGGUAACGCGGGGCAACCUGGCGACGAGUGGCGAACGGGUGAGUAAUGCAUCGGAACGUGCCCAGUAGUGGGGGAUAGCCCGGCGAAAGCCGGAUUAAUACCGCAUACGACCUAUGGGUGAAAGGGGGGGAUCGCAAGACCUCUCGCUAUUGGAGCGGCCGAUGUCAGAUUAGGUAGUUGGUGGGGUAAAGGCCUACCAAGCCGACGAUCUGUAGCUGGUCUGAGAGGACGACCAGCCACACUGGGACUGAGACACGGCCCAGACUCCUACGGGAGGCAGCAGUGGGGAAUUUUGGACAAUGGACGCAAGUCUGAUCCAGCCAUGCCGCGUGCGGGAAGAAGGCCUUCGGGUUGUAAACCGCUUUUGUCAGGGAAGAAAUCUUCUGGGUUAAUACCUCGGGAGGAUGACGGUACCUGAAGAAUAAGCACCGGCUAACUACGUGCCAGCCGCCGCCGUAA
rnacentral:rRNA from 1 species